AUUGAACUCUGGCGGCAUGCCUUACACAUGCAAGUCGAACGGCAGCACGGACUUCGGUCUGGUGGCGAGUGGCGAACGGGUGAGUAAUACAUCGGAACGUGCCCUGUCGUGGGGGAUAACUAGUCGAAAGAUUAGCUAAUACCGCAUACGACCUGAGGGUGAAAGCGGGGGACCGCAAGGCCUCGCGCGAUAGGAGCGGCCGAUGUCUGAUUAGCUAGUUGGUGGGGUAAAGGCCCACCAAGGCGACGAUCAGUAGCUGGUCUGAGAGGACGAUCAGCCACACUGGGACUGAGACACGGCCCAGACUCCUACGGGAGGCAGCAGUGGGGAAUUUUGGACAAUGGGGGCAACCCUGAUCCAGCAAUGCCGCGUGUGUGAAGAAGGCCUUCGGGUUGUAAAGCACUUUUGUCCGGAAAGAAAUCCCCUGCCCUAAUACGGCGGGGGGAUGACGGUACCGGAAGAAUAAGCACCGGCUAACUACGUGCCAGCCGCCGCGGUAA
rnacentral:rRNA from 1 species